UGCGUAGGCGGAAUAUUAAGUCAGUGGUGAAAUCCUGCAGCUCAACUGUAGAACUGCCAUUGAUACUGAUAUUCUUGAAUGUAGUUGAGGUAGGCGGAAUGUGUAAUGUAGCGGUGAAAUGCUUAGAUAUUACACAGAACACCGAUUGCGAAGGCAGCUUACUAAACUAUGAUUGACGCUGAGGCACGAAAGCGUGGGGAGCGAACAGGAUUAGAUACCCUGGUAGUC
rnacentral:rRNA from 1 species